rnacentral:rRNA from 1 species
UGAAUACGAGACGCUAAGGCGUCGAAGUAGUGUAUGUCAUACUUCCAAGAAAAGCUUGCACUGUCAUAGAUAAAAAACGCCUGUACCAUAACCGACACAGGUGGGUAGGUAGAGUAUACUAAGGGGCGCGAGAUAACUCUCUCUAAGGAACUCGGCAAAAUAACUCCGUAACUUCGGGAGAAGGAGUGCCUUAUUCGUAAGGUUGCAAUAACAAGAUCCAAGCAACUGUUUAUCAAAAACACAGGUCUCCGCUAAGUCGUAAGACGAUGUAUGGGGGCUGACGCCUGCCCAGUGCCAGAAGGUUAAAGAAGUUGGUUAGCAAUUGCGAAGCUGAUAACUGAAGCCCUGGUGAACGGCGGCCGUAACUAUAACGGUCCCAAGGUAGCGAAAUUCCUUGUCGGGUAAGUUCCGACCCGCACGAAAGGCGUAAUGAUUUGGAUACUGUCUCGGAGAGGGGCUCGGUGAAAUAGACUUGUCUGUGAAGAUGCGGACUACCUGCACCAGGACGGAAAGACCCUAUGAAGCUUUACUGUAACUUGAAAUUGAAAUUGGACUUUAUUCGCGCAGUAUAGGUGGGAGGCGUUGAUUAUAAUCUUGUGGGAUUAUUGGAGCCAUCAGUGAGAUACCACUCUUGUAAUGUUAGAUUUCUAACUUUGAAUCAUUAUCUGGUCAAAGAACAGUUUCAGGCGGGCAGUUUGACUGGGGCGGUCGCCUCCUAAACGGUAACGGAGGCGUACAAAGGUUUCCUCUGAACGGUUAGAAAUCGUAUCUAGAGUGUAAAGGCAUAAGGAAGCUUGACUGUGAGACCUACAAGUCGAGCAGGGACGAAAGUCGGUCUUAGUGAUCUGACGGUACUGAGUGGAAAGGCCGUCACUCAACGGAUAAAAGUUACUCUAGGAUAACAGGCUGAUCUCCCCCAGUUCACAUCGACGGGGAGGUUUGGCACCUCGAUGUCGGCUCAUCGCAUCCUGGGGCGGUAGUACGUCCCAAGGGUUGGGCUGUUCGCCCAUGAAAGCGGUACGCGAGCUGGGUUCAGAACGUCGUGAGACAGUUCGGUCCAUAUCCGGUGUAGGCGUUAGAAUAUUGAGAGGAGCCUUCUUUAGUACGAGAGGACCGAGAAGGACAUACCUCUGGUGUACCAGUUAUCGUGCCAACGGUAAACGCUGGGUAGCUAUGUAUGGAGUGGAUAACCGCUGAAAGCAUCUAAGUGGGAAGCCCACCUCAAGAUAAGUAUUCCCAUCAC